rnacentral:rRNA from 1 species
AAGGGGGCUAGCGUUGCUCGGAAUCACUGGGCGUAAAGCGCACGUAGGCGGAUUGUUAAGUCAGGGGUGAAAUCCUGGAGCUCAACUCCAGAACUGCCUUUGAUACUGAGGAUCUUGAGUUCGGGAGAGGUGAGUGGAACUGCGAGUGUAGAGGUGAAAUUCGUAGAUAUUCGCAAGAACACCAGUGGCGAAGGCGGCUCACUGGCCCGAUACUGACGCUGAGGCACGAAAGCGUGGGGAGCAAACAGG